rnacentral:rRNA from 1 species
CCUACGGGUGGCAGCAGUGAGGAAUAUUGGUCAAUGGGCGCGAGCCUGAACCAGCCAAGUAGCGUGAAGGAUGACUGCCCUACGGGUUGUAAACCUCUUUUAUAAAGGAAUAAAGUGAGGCACGUGUGCCUUUUUGUAUGUACUUUAUGAAUAAGGAUCGGCUAACUCCGUGCCAGCAGCCGCGGUAAUACGGAGGAUCCGAGCGUUAUCCGGAUUUAUUGGGUUGAAAGGGAGCGUAGAUGGGUUGUUAAGUCAGUUGUGAAAGUUUGCGGCUCAACCGUAAAAUUGCAAUUGAUACUGGCAGUCUUGAGUACAGUUGAGGUAGGCGGAAUUCGUGGUGUAGCGGUGAAAUGCUUAGAUAUCACGAAGAACUCCGAUUGCGAAGGCAGCCUACUAAGCUGCCACUGACAUUGAUGCUCGAAAGUGUGGGUAUCAAACAGGAUUAGAUACCCUAGUAGUC